rnacentral:lncRNA from 1 species
GGGGGGGGGUCACGUGGCGUGCCCACGUCCAGUGCGGGGCGCAGAGACGCAGCAGCGAGUGCGCAGGCGCUGGAGUGCGACGUAUCACUCCCCGACUGCGCGCACUCUGCGGGCCACCGGGAUCGUCGUGCUGUUUGGAGCGCUCUCGGGAAAAAAAAUGCAAAAACCAGGAACGAAAAUGGAUAUCCGCAACGAAAAAGAAAUUACAACCACUUAGGCCUUAGAAAAAACUGGCAAAUACCAAUGUCAAAACAAACUGAGAAAGAGGACAUGUUUUUAAGUGGACAGGAGAAAUGUAAACAGGCUCCGGGAAACGAGUGGAGACGGGCAGUAGUUUCAACUGGUUACGGCUGUUUUCCCCAACAUUAUGAAAAACUUCGGACAUAGAGAAAAAGGGAAAGAACUGUACGGUGAACACCCAUAUACUUGCCACCUAGAUUCUACCCUUAGCUCGCUUAUCCCUGCCUUUUCAGGUAUCUACCCGUAACUCCAUUCGCCUUCCUUUUUGUGUGUGUCCGGGUGAGUUGCAGACGUGGCUGCGUCCACUCCGCGCUCCCUGCAGGCCCCAACGCUUCAUCGCAGCGCCCACUUUUUCCACCUGACCCGGCGAACACCGGGCGGGCCGCUGGAGUUUAUCAGCUCCAGGACAAAUCUGCCUCUGACCACCACGUUUGCUGGGACAUCUUUGGGACCGGAGGUUUUCAUGUGCAUUCUUGUUUCUCAUGCCUUUCCUCCUCUUUAUCAUCUUCCCCGCCACUCAUCCAUCUCUAGUGUUUUGUUCUUGGAGUCACGUGGUCCUCAGGCUCUGACCACAGCAAAAGAAAAGCUGGAUGCUGGAGCUUAAGCUGGGAUUUAUACCCAAGUCAACUCUAAGCAAAACGGGCCUUUUUAGAGGCUGUAUUUGCAUGCUGUAAAAUCAGUCGGUGUACUAGGCUUUGUUGCAGAAAUCCCCAAUAUACGUUUCCUCUGCGGCUCCCCGUAACCACACACAGGAACGCUUGCCUUGAACGAGGAGAAUGCACUUCCAGUCUCGUCUGCUAAGCAGUUGACUCCUUCACCCAAUAAUUUUGAUAUUUAAAUGUCUCAUGAUUAUCGGUUACCAUAAGAAUAUAAACAAUGUAUUUUCAGUUUACAUCCUCCCCUGCCUGUCCGCUAAAUAAGAACCACUGGGUACUCCUAAUCGCUGAAGGUUUCGCACACCAUUGCCUGCCUCAUCAGGGCCCUAGCUCUAGCCUGCGGCUGCAACUGCAUGAGGCUGCACCUGCCGGCGCAACGGGGCCGCUUAACUUUUAGGCCAUUGAUGAAAAGUCAAACAAGCGCACAGUACUCGGUGUAAUCAGGGGCAUUUUUAGCGAGAUACCUGGGAUGAAAACGGGUGACCACCUGAAUCAGAGAGCAGCUCCGGCGCACCCUCUGCCCCGACCCG